rnacentral:rRNA from 1 species
GACGAACGCUGGCGGCGUGCUUAACACAUGCAAGUCGAACGGAGUGGCGAACGGGUGAGUAACACGCGGGUGAUCUGCCUUGCACUUCGGGAUAAGCUUGGGAAACUGGGCCUAAUACCGGAUAGUGCAAGAUGAGCUCGCGGCCUAUCAGCUUGUUGGUGGGGUAAUGGCCUACCAAGGCGUCGACGAGUAGCCGGCCUGAGAGGGUGUACGGCCACAUUGGGACUGGGGUACGGCCCAGACUCCUACGGGAGGCAGCAGUGGGGAAUAUUGCACAAUGGGCGGAGGCCUGAUGCAGCGACGCCGGGUGGGAGAUGAAGGCCUUCGGGUUGUAAACUCCUUUCGACAGGGACGCGGUACCUGUAUAAGAAGCACCGGCUAACUACGUGCCAGCCGCCGCGGUAAUUC